CGGGGUGCAGCAGGCGCGAAAACUCCACACUGUACGACAGUACGAUGGGGUUAUCUCGAGUGCAGUCCGAUAAGGGCUGCUUUUCCAUAGAGUAAUAUCCUGUGGGAAUAAGAGGGGGGCAAGACUGGUGUCAGCCGCCGCGGUAACACCAGCCCCUCGAGUGGUGGGGACUAUUAUUUGGUCUAAAGCGUCCGUAGCUGGCUGUAUCCGUCCCCCGUUAAAUCCAGCGUCCUAAACGUUGGACUGCGGGUGAUACCAUACAGCUAGAGGGUGGGAUAGGUGAGCGGUAUUUCUGGGGUAGGGGCGAAAUCCUUUGAUCCCAGGAGGACCACCAGUGGCGAAGGCUGCUCACUAGAACACGCCUGACGGUCAGGGACGAAAGCUGGGGCAGCGAACCGGAUUAGAUACCCGGGUAGUCCCAGCUGUAAACGAUGCUGCUAGGUGUUGGGUCGGCCACGCGCCGCCCCAGUGCCGCAGGGAAGCCGUUAAGCUAGCCACCUGGGGAGUACGGCCGCAAGGCUGAAACUUAAAGGAAUUGGCGGGGGAGCAC
rnacentral:rRNA from 1 species